ensembl:lncRNA
CUGCCUGAGCUGGUGCUGGACCCGAGAAGUUCAGUGAUGGCCGGAGAGCGGGAGAGGCCUCAGCGAUGGAGCGGGGAGUGUUGGUAGCAAAGAGGCUUUGGGCCGAGUGAAGUAUUGGGGAUGGGUGAGCAAUAUCUGCGAGCCCGUGUUUCUCCCGAAUUCCGUGGUCCACGGCAGAGACCUGGUGGGUAAAAAGCCAGAGGUUGAGGGGGGACUGAGGGAAGCUGGUGAAGGACGUGUGUUAGCUGGCCACGGGCGCACAUUGAACAGUCUCCUCUCACACCCGCCCCCUCCACAGUGCCCGUCCAAAAUCAUUGCAUCUCCCCCCUGGAGCUUUGAACAAAUGGUUGCUGAGGAGGGUUCCUUUCCCUCCCAUCGCCCUCACACUGCUCCAUGUCCAUCCUUUCCCAGGACACUGAGCCAGGAGUUGGAUUGGAUGAGCGCAGUUUUGUUACAGCUUGUUUUACACAGCCACCCGUGUCUGGUUUAAAUCUCUUGCACAUGGAUCCAUUGGGGAGUUUUCCAUAGCUACAUAUGCCCAACUCAAAAACUCUUGGACACAGAUCCAUUGGGGGGUUUUCCAUAGCCACCUAUGCCCAAGUCAAAAACCUGGAUGUGCACUGACUGGGGAAGACUACGGGAUGGGAAUGUUUUUAGCCAAAAGCACAUGAAUCUGAACAGCUCGGGAGAUGGUUAAACAAAGUCUUUUCUAAGUGGAUGCUGCUCCGGGAGAGUGAAUUAGGAUCUCUUCUCCCACCCAAUCCGCAAGGGAACAGAAUAGGGGUGAGGUGGCAGCCAGAGGAUCUCUUUUUGGAGUUAGGCGUGGCGUGCAGCAGGUGACCCUGACCAUCAGACGGGGCCCAACAGGUGUAAGCGGCCCCGCGGCUCCGCUGCCCUCAGGAGCCGCCGCCAUGUUGCUUUGGGGAAGGGGGCCCAGCUCGGCCUGCAGCGCUACGAGACAACCCCGCGUUCCCCCCUGAGGCCCCUCUCAGGCCGCUGAAGAAGCGAGCUGGAGGCUCUCGGCCAGCCCCGGGCGAUGGGUCGCCUCUCCCCGGCCAGCGGGCAGGCGCCGGAACCCGCGCACCCGCGGAACGGCAGGCGCGGGCGCGGCGGGUUGGGGGGACGGCGGUGUGUGGCACACCGCUGAAGCGCCCGGGCCUGCCGGAACGCUUCUGCUCGGCCUCGGGGAGCGAGUUCCGCGGGGGAUGUUUGUGGCGGCGCACCGGGGCGGCACAAUGGCGGCGCCCAGCGCCCGCUGCCUGUGGCGAGCAUUGGCCCCGCGGUGCGGCUGGGUCCUCCCCGGGCUGGAGCAGCGCCUCGCGGUCCCCGCCGUGGUGAGCCCCGUGACUUCCCGGCCCUACGCGGCGGCAGCAGCCAAGUGAGUGCGGGUCCGGCGUCCUGGAGGUGUUGGGGGGGUGUUUGGUGUCCGCAGUGCUGGUGUGACAGCCGCUGACCCUGGCGGCGUCCCACAGGCUCCUAGAGACUCGCAGGGAGUGUUAAUGGUUAACAGGGAAAGCUUGAGGUUGUGCUUUUGGGCUGUGCUUUUGCGCGGUGUAGCAGGGUUGCAGGUCAGCAUGAAAGCUGGUGAGCUCCUGGAGUCGAUUUGAAACCCUUCCCAUCCUUAAAGUGGCUUUUCAGUAUUUAAUUUGCCAUCUCUGUAACAGCACAUCGUGGCUGGGAG